UAUCUCUGUAGAGUCUGCAUAUCAAUAAGCGGAGGAAAAGAAACUAACAAGGAUUCCCCUAGCAACGGCGAGUGAAGCGGGAAGAGCUCAAAUUUGAAAUCUUCAAGGGUUUCCCUUGACGAAUUGUAGUUUAUAGAAGUGUUUUCUGUUAGAGAGGUGGUAAAAGUUCUUUGGAAUAGGACAUCAUAGAGGGUGAGAAUCCCGUAUUUGAUCACUUUCUACUAACGUUGUGAUACACUUUCAACGAGUCGGAUUGUUUGGGAAUGCAGUCCAAAAUGGGUGGUAAAUUUCAUCUAAAGCUAAAUAUUGGCGAGAGACCGAUAGCGAACAAGUACCGUGAGGGAAAGAUGAAAAGAACUUUGAAAAGAGAGUUAAACAGUACGUGAAAUUGUCAAAAGGGAAGCGUUUGACACCAGUGUUGUUUUUCCGAAAAUCAAUUACGAAUGUUUUGUUUUUGAGAAGUUAUGACUUCAUCGGCUUGCUUCUCUCUUUACGAAACUUUCUUAAUGCACUUUUCGGUUAACAAGUCAACAUCAAUUUCUUUUGUUGUAAAAGGGUAUGAGGAAGGUGGCUUUCUUUUCGGAGAAAGUGUUUAUAGCCUUGUGCCUCUGCAAUCGGAGAGAUUGAGGUCUGCAGCGUAGAUCCUUCGGGGUUAGAUACAUUUGUGCUAAGUUAUAGCUUUUCAUAGACAACUUGCUGACUAUGAUUAGUCAUUGUAGCUUACUCGCUUACUGCUAUUUUACCUACGCUUAGGAUGUUGACGCAUGAGAUAUACGC
rnacentral:rRNA from 1 species